GGACGUGGAAGAGACCACGAGCUCUCAAGCAGGGGGGAGUCCACGGGUGAUGCGGCGGAGUCUGUGGUUACUUGGGCCGGACGUUCCCGUGAGCCUUUGCCAGUACCACCCUCGCCCGUGGCGAAUGGGACGUUCCAUCCCCUUAAGGGCCAGGGGCGCAGCGCCGUCAGUCUCUCGGCUUAGUGUUUGCCGUGCCGGUAGGUGUUUGUGUCUGCGGCCAGGGGCUGCGGUGAGGGCAAGUAGCGCUCUGCGGUCGUGACUUCUGGGGGCGCCCCUUCUCAGGAACUCGAGGUGCCAGGAACCCGGUCCCAGUUUCCCCCACCUGCCAUGCGUGCGCAAAUGCGGGGGGCCAGAGUGGGAAGCUCACUGCAGGGUACUGACGGGAGCGACAUCCCACCUUGAGGUCUCAUGCUAGUGAAGGAUUGCCAGUAUGUGGUCAGCAGUUUGAAAAAGCAAGGAGCAUUGGCCUGUGGGGUUUUAAGUGCUGGAGAAUGUGAAUGAAUGAGCAAUGCAGAGCUUUGAGUUGGGUUGAAAAGCAGCUCAACAAACCAAGAGGCUGCUUUGGCAGAGGAUGGCCAUCCAUGGCUCAGGAGGAAGCAGUUUGAAAUCUCAAGAGGAUCAGUAGCCACCAUCAGUCAGGACUCUGAACAUUCUGGUUUUUCUAGUGCUUCAUGCUCAGCAGGAGCUUCUGUAUCUCUCAGUACUAUGUAAAGUGACCCAAAGACAGGUCUGAGUUCUGUAAGCUGGAAACUUAUUUCCUUUGCAAACUAAUGUUCUGUUAUUUCUAUAAAUUUAAUACUGUAAUAAAGCACAAUCUCUGGUAUUGG